rnacentral:rRNA from 1 species
AGGGUUUGAUCAUGGCUCAGAACGUACGCUGGCGGCACGCCUAAUACAUGCAAGUCGAACGAAGUAGCAAUACUUAGUGGCGAACGGGUGAGUAUAAUGUGGGUAUCUGCCUUUUGGUUUGGAAUAACACGGGGAAACUUGUGCUAAUACCGAAUAAGCCUUUACAGGGAAAGUUUUAACGCCGAAAGAUGAGCCCAUACUUGAUUAGCUAGUUGGUAAGGUAAUGGCUUACCAAGGCUACGAUCAAUAGCUGAUCUGAGAGGAUGAUCAGCCACAUUGGGACUGAGACACGGCCCAAACUCCUACGGGAGGCAGCAGUAGGGAAUCUUGCACAAUGGGGGAAACCCUGAUGCAGCGAUGCCGCGUGAGUGAAGAAGGCCUUUGGGUUGUAAAGCUCUUUCGUCGGGGAAGAAAAUGACUGUACCCGAAUAAGAAGGUCCGGCUAACUUCGUGCCAGCAGCCGCGGUAAUUC